UUUCGCACACCCGGUAUACAGAGCCGGUGGAACAGCAAUCGGCGUAUCGGUGGUGGGGAGGAUUCCGGUCGGUCGUAGCGAUGCGACGCGAUGCGUCGAAGCAAAAGGUUGCUGAUCCAAGGAGCGAGUCGCUACCAGUGGUAGGGUGAAACGUGGACGCAAAUGGUGGGGAUCGGUAUUCGAAGUUGUUCAUCGGCUGUUCGGUCGCGGUGGUAGGGAGAAACACUGCGGAAUAUCGCGUGGAGAAUGGAAGAGGGAGGGGAAGUUGAAAGAGUGGGGCGUAGAAUGUGCGCGACCGAACAACUGGUUCAGUGCGCGGUACGUCCCAUCCAGAAACCAUGAGUCCCGUUUCACCAACGUGGUCCAUUGUUAUGCGCUCGAAAAGUAACAGCGGAGUACAUUGUUGGCGACACGCAGGCGCGCACCUCUUCCUUUUGUAAUUCACGUUCUCGUAGACGUGCUGCGGAGUACCUUUGGCAAAUUUCUUUUUCCCGCGCCGAUCCACCGACGAACGAUAGCGGAAAGCGCAUCUCUGGCAACCGCGACGUCGCUGCUUCCGCCUUGCCCCUCUUUCUCCUUUCUUUUCUUCCACUCUGUCGCUCUCUGUCUUUUUCCGCCGCGUUGUUUCCACUCCGUGUAUCGGGACCUUGAUCGUCGACCAUUCCCGCUAACUGUAAUCGUUCUUUUCGACGAGAAUCGAGUGGCCUUCGUUACGACGAUACCUUGUUGUUUCGUGCGAGUGGCGGCAAGUCGAGUGAUAACGACAUGGAGAAGGUAGUUGGACGAUAACUGACAUUUCAGACGACGGAUCCGCCGCGUAAUGUAGGUUUACGAAGCAGAUAACGCACGGGUUCGGUCUUGGUCGAUUCGUUGUUUCGAGAAAUGGCCGGGACAGAAGUGUGAGUGAGAAACACGCUGUUUGCAGUGAUACGUCGGCCCGGCUGUGAUCUUCUUGGAAUAUCGACGUUCGUCCGUUUGACACGUGGUCCGAUGGUUCGUCCAGCGACUCAGGGCUGAGGUUUCCCCAUGUGGCGAAGAAGAGUUAUCGCUGUUCGUUCACCGCCUCACCUACGGCCCAUCAAAGCAGCUGGAAAACGAGACGGCAUGGACUAGCCGCUCGGGCCGUGGAAACCCUUGGAAGGGAAAAGGGCAGCGGCAUCCCCUCCCUCGGCCCUGCAACCGUCGCGACGCUCGACGACGCUGCAACGUCGUCGCUUCGCAACCAUCUCAUCGCCCUUGUCGUUUCAGCCGGAAGGCUGAUGUUUUUCUUUAUAAACCUGUAAAUAAAAGGCCUCAAAGUGUACGGCGCCGUGGAGAAGACGUUUCACCCGUUCGAGCUGUGCAGCAGGCUUUCCCGCGUGUUCCAGCCGGGAACACUGGCCGGUAUACAAGGUGAGUUGCGCACGCGUCUAUUUCUGUUAUAUUCCUUUCUUUUCUUUUUGUUCAAAUGAAACCAUUACUCGCCCACGGUACGUUCGAUAAACGUUUCAAUCCUCUUAACACCGAUCCCUAAAAUUCAUUUUAUCGAAUUUUGCGAACUCGUUGCACCUGGAAAAUGUCCGAUCGCAGUGACACUUGGCAAUCGACUAUGAAACGAUUUCUAAACGAAGCGACAGAUGCACUUGGAUAUUAAAAAAGAAAGAGAGAAUCGACGCGCGAAACGAUGAAAAGAAGCGAGGAACGCGAAGAAAACAGUGACAUCGUGAAUUUUUAAGGUGAUACGAUCACCCCCGACGUCUCGUUCGGACUAGACGAGUUAAUUCGCUGCUUGUAGCCGACCUCGAAACCUCGAGCUAAAAAGUCGACGAUAACGUACUGUUUCCUAGGUACGUACUUGCCGUAAACAGAGGAUUGUAUACAACUGCGUCGCACUAAAAGCUACUAAACCGCGCAUACUACCUAUAAAUGGGCGGGUUGCUAUAAAGCCCAUUCAUGAUCGCGUCGUCUGUACAACGAACGUCAGGUGGCUCGCGCCUCCCCCGCGAUUUAUCGCACUUCUAUUCGAACGAGAGGUCUCGUGCCUCCCAUGUACUUCCUACGCAAGCACAAUAGCACACGACCCCGAUAUCGGUGCAGACAGUGAUUCGAUAUAUUCUACUUCAAGUAGCGCGUUACUUAAGAAUAAGCAAGGCAACGAUAUAUUAUCGACUGUUAUACGAAGGGAAUCGAUUUUGUUGGUAAUCUUAUAAAAUGAGAUUCGCUAACUGGUUAGUUCCGAUAGCGAAAGUUUUAAUUUUCUAAUAGAUAUUAAUGCAAGGAGAAGAAU